rnacentral:rRNA from 1 species
UGGGGAAUAUUGCACAAUGGAGGGAACUCUGAUGCAGCAACGCCGCGUGCGGGAUGACGGCCUUCGGGUUGUAAACCGCUUUCAGCCAUGACGAAGCUUUUGUGACGGUAGUGGUAGAAGAAGCACCGGCUAACUACGUGCCAGCAGCCGCGGUGAUACGUAGGGUGCGAGCGUUGUCCGGAAUUAGUGGGCGUAAAGAGCUUGUAGGCGGUUUGUCGCGUCGAUAGUGUAAACACGCAGCUUAACUGUGUGCCUGCUGUCGAUACGGGCUGACUAGAGGAGGGUAGGGGAGAAUGGAAUUCCCGGUGGAGAGGUGGAAUGCGCAGAUAUCGGGAGGAACACCAGUGGCGAAGGCGGUUCUCUGGACCUUUCCUGACGCUGAGAAGCGAAAGCGUGGGUAGCAAACAGG